rnacentral:lncRNA from 1 species
GUGCCACCACGCAUUCCACUUCGGAUGUUGCAUUAUAUUUAUAUGUCACUCAAAUAUUUACCAUUUUUCUGAAUUCUGCUGGGUGCUCUGAGAGCUCGUUAUAAGCCAAGUAGCUGCAGUUGUGUGCCUUGGCUGUCGAGCAGCUGUGGCUGAGCCACAUCAAUCUGCUAACUUCUCUUUCUGGAGCUUCUCGUGUGACAAAAGCCACUCUUUCAUAACGUUUCCUCCUCCGUAGUUGCCGAUCUGCCCGCUGCUGCAAAUCACCCUGUGGCACGGUAUGAUAAUCGGGAUAGGAUUGCUCCUCAUCGCUCCUCCCACCGCUCUCGCUGCUCGGCUGUUGCCUGCUCGCUCUGCUAAUUGCUGGUAAGAAAUGGCCUCUCCGAACUUCACUUCCCUCAGCAGGGUCCACAACACCUCCUUGGUGAAUGAAUCUUGCUGCAGCAUGGGGUGGUGGAAGGGCGGCAGGGGCAGCUGCUCUGUCCUGCUGGGCUCACAGAAGUAGGCGUUCAGCCAGGCUGCACACUGCUGCAGUGGCUCCGGCAUGGAAGUCACACUGCCACUCAGCUCACAGCGCAUCGCAGCCUCCGUCCCAUUUGGCAGCACACUCAGUCUGGGGAGUUUUAUUUCGUGUACUCCUGUUUCACACCCAGAUAUCUCCAGUUUUCCCACGGGGCUGAGCAGAACCGCAUGCUUCUCCUGGCACUGUGAUGUUCCCUCUUUGGAAGUCAUUUUUGGAACACGCCUUGAUGCCAUGGUAGAUGGAGAUGCCUGCAGAGACACUGAACUUGCAGCGCAGACGCACGCAGCACUCGUGACCGCUCACCGCCCCCGGCCGCACUGCCGAGCUCCCCCCGCCCCGCCCCGGCCCCAACCGGCCCGCAGCGCGCCGCCCGCCCGCCCCGCCUCCUCCUCCCACCGCCACACGGCCGCCAUCAGCUGGGCCCCGCGGCCCGCACAGCCCGCCGGAGGACCGCGGCGGAGCACCGGCAGCGCGCACAGACUGCGGCGGAGCUGCCCGGGGGGCUCGGAGGGCGGCGGUAGAGGCGGAGCAGCCCCGGGAGCGGCCUCACCUGCCGCCCGGCAGCACCACUUCCCCGCGCCGCGAGGCCUUCCGAGCCCCGCCCGCGUGCUCCGGGAUGGGGGGAUGGGGGGGGGGGGACGGAUGAAGGCCGGGCGCUGAUUGCGUCCGCGCUCAGCUGCUCCAGGGCCCGUCUGGGCCUCUUUGUAAACAUCACCCACAAACCCACGGGUGCCGAAAGGAGCGUGCUGAGGGCUGGCUGCUGCAGCGGGCUGCUGGUCUGGGAGCAGAGCACGGCACGUGCCGUGCGGCCGAGUUCGCCAUUUAAAGCGUUACCUGCGCCUGUCCUUUGCUAAGCGCUGGCGUGGAGGCGAGCAGGCAGCCCGCAGCGCUCCGUUUGCAGACGGGGAUGUUCUGCAAACCCAACUUGUUAAAGAGAGGAAAGCAGAGCUUUGUUUCAGCCCACAGAAGGAGCGCUGCUCAAGUUUGCAAGAAGAAGCUCUCAUUUUCCACCUAAAGAUUUUUCUUGCUGUCUGAAACUUACACCUGAGUUACAUCAGCAGCAUUUUUAUAGUGGUGCUGCAGGAUGCAGAAGUUAUCACAGAAUGGCAAAGUGGAGGAAUCCACGUGGGAAAUAACAGAGCGGCUUUAAAAAGUCAUCACAGAACCAUGGCAAUCUAUUUUUUUUUCUAUUUUUUUUUCCACAGGAAGUGAGUGCUGCGAAUAAAAGAGCAGUGAGUUAGUGCCCGCGUGUGAAAUCCGGCUCUAAAAAAUGACAGAGUUGGCUCCAAAAUGCUGAAGUUUCUCCAAUGCAAUUGAAGAUACCUUUGGAAUAGUUGCACCUGGGGCAGACUUACAACAGGGCGGUUGUGAGCAGGGGAUGUUGAGAGGCCUUUUUUACUGCCUUUGCCAUCUACAUAAGCAAGGUGUUGGCCAAAAGUCUCUGCACAUCUCAGAGAGUAAAAGAAGUCUACGGUGCUUCCUCCCUGUCCUGUUAACUGUGAUUUAUGGACACAGCCAUUUAGAUAUGAGGAGGAAGUUUUUCCCCCAGAGGGUGGUGACGCACUGAACAGGUUGCCCAAGGAGGCUGUGGAUGCCCCAUCCCUGCAGGCAUUCAAGGCCAGGCUGGAUGUGGCUCUGGGCAGCCUGGGCUGCUGGUUGGCGACUGUGCACAUAGCGGGGUGGGGGGGGGGUGUUGAAACUAGAUGAGCAUUGUGGUCCUUUUCAACCCAGGCCAUUCUAUGCUUCUAUGGUUUAGAGCAAGAUAGAAAUGAUCCGUGUGAUCGGUGAGGGAUAAAUUGCAGUUAUAUCUCUUUACAUAAGCAGUUUCUCAAUGACUUAAUUUAAGAGACAGAGAAACAGUAUUACAAUUAAGGAGAAAUGCAGGAAAAGCUAUUCCAUCUUUGUGAUAGCUUACAAACAAUUAGAGAUUCCUGGUUCAUAUUUUCUGAUUUUUUAAGCAUUCAAAAUUAAUUUCUGGUACCUUUACAGUAACCUUUGCUAGUGAACAGAUUACUUAGACUUACUACAUAAGCAAUGCUGUAUGCUUUCAGAAGGAAAAUGAAGCUUUCCAGCAGCUUUAAUGAAGCCUGGAUUAACAGUAAAUGAAAAGGUAUUGCCAAGGUGUGCCCCAUACAAGUGCAAUGGCUUAUGUGAAGACAGUCUCAUCUCUAAAUGAACAAUCUCUUCACAUCAGUAAACUGUGGACUGGAUGGGGUACCCAGGGGAUAGUUAUUAUUUCUGAAUGCAAAUAUCAAACUUCUUAAACUUGGAUCCUUUAUUUUCUUUCUCCCAGAUGUUUUACAAUCCGAUAUGGGGAUUAAAAGGAAGGAGUGCGGAGGUCUGUAAACCAACCACUCUCAAAGUGAGUUUCAGUGGUCCUCCUUUCCAUAACAAUCGUCAUUUCUUUGCCUUCAGGAUGCCAACAUAAAGAUGAGCUCUGCAGGUCAGUCUGUGCCGUUCCAGUUGAGGAGGAGCAGCCUAUUGACCGGCAUGGGCAUGGCAGUUGUUAGCACUGACAACAGCGCUGCUUGAAGAGAAAACUUAAUUAGCACAGAAUUCCCUGAAGGACUGCUUCCCAGUAGACUAUGAAUACGUAAUGUCAUUAUAUAAUUAAAUACUUACAGAUUUAUGCAAUCUUAAAACAUAUAGGAGAUUCUCGGGCACAUCCACAUAGGAGAUGUGAGUAGACCUGAAGUCCCUUUACCUCUGCUGUGUAUAUCUGAGCUAUGAUGGAAGGUGUAUAUGGCUGCUUAGUGGCUGAAAUUGUGUCCCUGCCAUACACUCCACUUCUGGGGUUGGGUCAGGUGGAGCGAGUCAGAUUGUGCUGGCACCUACCCGAUGAGAGUGACAGGAGAAAGGGUAAAGCAGGAUAUCUGCAUGAGUUUCAAUUAACAGCGUGAGCUUCAUUAAUUCCUUCCAAGUAUUAGUGAAUGUUUACAAUUUUAAGUGCUUUGGAAAUUUCAGUCUGGUAUCUUAUCUCUUAAAAAUGAACCUAUUUUACUUUGAAAAUAUUGUAAUGCCAGAUGAAAGGGAAACAGUGCUGAAGUGAAUGAAAUCACUCUGUGCUGUUUCACAUUUCUGAAAAGUAGCCACUUCCUGAAACUUUAUGUGGAAACCUCCAGAAAAUACAUAUAAAUCUUUUCUAACUCCCCUUCCAGGCCGACCUCCUUAUUGCCUGAAGCAUGAAAAUUGAUUAUCUUUAAUAUGAUUUUAGUUUGCAUUAUAACAGGUUUGAAUAGGGAAUGUGAAAUGUCUGGACCCUCUUAAAACCAAGCAUUUGGGGGUUUGGCAGUGAGUCCACAACUUGUCUGUUUGCAGUAUAAAGAAGUGUAGGAAUUCAAACUGCUCUGUGUUCUUAGUUAAUCAAAGUGUCAUAUUCUUCUGUUAGCAGAUGAUGUAAGAAGGGUACUCCUGAGCGCUCUGCACUAUGCCCCAAGAAUUACCAACAUCUUAUUCAAAUCUCCUCUAAUCCCUCAGCUGAUCAGAUUUUAAUCUUUAUUAUUUUGCCGCUAUAAUUUCAACCACUGAACUUUUGAAUUCCCUUCUAGUCUAUUCUUUAAUGGAUAGGAAAUGGCUGGGAAGACUAUUACUAAUUAGAUGUACCACUGGCCAUGACAUCAGCAUCAAUAGAAGAUAUAAACCCCCUUUCUCUGUAGAUUCUGGCCUGUUCCUACUGCUUUACUUGGUAUAUCUUAUCAGACUUCCUUCUUAAAUUAGCUAUAAGUGCCACUGGUUGUUAAUUUUCUUGCUAGGAGUCUCCAGCAUUCAGCAUGACACAUCCAGUUCACUAAUGCUAAAGCUUACAGGGAAUGUUUCAGAGCACCAGUACUGUAAGAAGGCAAAAGAUUUCUAAAAUGUUUUUUGAGUCUUGUCAUCUCAUAGAAUGGCCGAGUCAGAGAACCAUAGAAUGGCCUGGGUUGAAAAGGACCACAAUGCUCAUCAGUUCCAACCCCCUGCUAUG